UUUUUUCAUAUUGAUAUUCCAUUGCCCAUUGGCUUCCUCCUUGCAUUGAGUCGGUGUUCGAAUGGUUCCUUACUUCCUCCCCAAUCUGACCACAGCCACGAGUCGUCGUCGACGUCCUUGUUCGGUUGUUCCCUCUUUGGUAUCAUGGCACCCAGGUUUCCUCUAAAAUUUGGCCAUGAAGCAUCUGGAAAUUGGAUCGGGUCCUUUAUUCACGCAAGAAAUUCUUGAUUCCAAUGAAGACUUCCAAAAAUUUCAGCAAACUAAGCCAAGCUGUGGUGGAUACUGGAAAUUGAGAUCGACAUGCUGGGGUUAUGUUGUUACGAAAUUUAGCUAAAAGACGUGCAAUGUUGAAGAAGAUGUAUAAUGAAAAUUUUGGAAUUUUGAUAUAGAAGUUAGAAGAAGCUCUUUUCAAUAUUUCUGCAGCCUAAUUAAAAAAUUUCCCUUCUUUGCAACUUGAUGACUGGGUUUUGUGUAGGAUUUAUCAAACAGAAGAAAAAUUCGUUCCAAAUAAGCAACAAAAGAUCAGUGAGGAUUUUAAUUAAUUCUAACUACAAUUUCAAUUGUUAUGAUCUUGCAUCAGCAUGUUUUCCAUAUGAGAAUUCUGCUUUCAGGUCCAAGUACUUGGAACAAGAAAUGACCAGUAUGGAAUUUUAAGUGGAUGUUUUGGGAUUUUCGGCAAAUGCUCAGCUCCUACAGUCUCCAUUCUUUCGGCGUCGUCCCAUCCCCAGCAAUCGCCCAACUCUAGUACACUACUCGUGGGUAAAUAAUGAAGAAGAAAUCUUGAAUUCUGUGAAUGUGAAUAUGACGGUCCGUCGAGGAAAAUCACAUGUCAAAGGAAAAAUGAAAGGGACGGACAUGGCUUGAUUAGUGGGUUAUGUUGAACUAGUUAUAUUAUGUUAAAUAGAGGCAAGGUGAAAAUCUGAAUUUGGUAUUUUAGUGUACUGCAGUAAGUUGGUUGAUUUUGGUUGAAAUGAAUGACUUGCUUCAUGUACCUUGUAUCUUUCAUUAACAUUUGUUUAAUUAUAAUAACAAGAGUUUGGAGUUUCUUAAA